rnacentral:rRNA from 1 species
AACAAGGUUUCCGUAGGUGAACCUGCGGAAGGAUCAUUANUAAGCGAGCCCCCCG